GGGUAGAGCUCAUUUUCCUGUUUUUGUUCUUCGUGCAUUUAUUCUGUUGUGUGUGAGCGAAAACGGCGACAAAUGCAAAAGCUAUUGCGUAGUGUGGAGUAACAAGAUAUUCAGAACAACGGAACGCUAACUGACGCGUCGUAGAAUUGGAGUUUACUGGGGAAUCCCCCUGUAGCUGCAGUUUGUGUUUGUACUGUAUGUGUUCCUAGGACCAAAGUUUAAUGCUGUUAAUUAUAACAUGCUAAGAGAUUCAAGACUGUUUUCUACAGUGACAUUAUUGAAGCAUCUGGCACAUCUUGGCUCUGCGUUGAUUGUUUCCCUAUGGUGCUACAGCAGCUUCAUGAAAUUUUUUAAUUACAAGGAAACAAGCACUUCCUACAGCUGGCAUCAUCAGUCAAAUAAUAAGCACUCUCCAGUACCUUCUUUUGGGACUGCUGCUGAGAAGUGUUUAUGAAGUAUAUCGAGCUAUGAUAGCAAUAUAUACAUACUUUGAGGCAGAACUGUGGCCAACUGUGCUCCUUGUACUUGAGUGUUCUUUGUUGGGAAUCAGCUUACCAAUUCUGCCAAUCCAUCCUAUGAUUUUUAUCAUGCUGAUGUGGUGGUUGUUGCCAUAUACCUACAUGUUGAUGAAGCUGUACAAAACAUAUAAAAGGCUACAAUAUAUUAAUGACUGCAGACAGCUUUCAUAACUACAAUAUAAAGAAAUUAUAAGGGCAAGAAGUCACAUCAGCUACUAUUACAGAUAUAUAUGUACACAUUUGUAUAUUGCUGAUAAAGUAUCACAUAUUUAUUUAAAAUCUUUGGUCAAAAGCAUGUUAACAAUAAAACAUCAGCAAUUUCACACCAUUGAUGUGUGUGGAAAGUAUUGUUCACAGGCCUCUGUUGAUAAAUUUUGGUAAUUAUAGUUAAGCUCCAUCUUCAUAAAAACAUGACACAGUCUCAGGUUAAGUUGUGAGGACUCCAAUGAAUAUAUAAAGUAUUCGGCUCAGUGUUCCCCAUUG